ensembl:snRNA U6 U6 spliceosomal RNA
GUGCUCACUUGGGCAGCACAUGUACGAGCAUUGAACCCAUACAGAGAAGAGGGGCCUGGGCCCUGCACAGGGAUCAUAUGCAAAUUCAUGAAGUGUUCUGUAUUUUU